AUGGACAACCUUGAGAACACGUCAGAGGACAAAGGCUUAAAUUUUCUGUGCAAUCUAUCUGACGUAGAGGUCGUACAUAGCAUGACACAGCUCUUACUUCAUGCAUUGGCCACAGCUUCAGUGGACAGCACCACUGGUGAUAUGUUCAAGAGCCCAGCAUCUGUAGCUAUUGGCAUGAAGACCGAACUAUCAGGGUACAUGAGUCAGAGAUCUGAAACACUUGUUCGCCAAUCUAUGGAUGGAGGCGAGGAUCAUUCAGAUCAAUUAACAAAAGCAUCCUCCAGGCCGACGGAGUUCCUGUCAGACUUGAUCGAUGAGUUUGUGACCUCAAAAAGGGGCAUGCUGAGCCAUGUCUCUGGGCUUUUUUCUAGCGAAAGCCGCCUGAACAAAAUUAAAGACUUCAUGCAAAAGUUAGAGACGGAUAACUCGUGGGCCCAGGAUGAAAGGAAGGCGACUGCAUGGGCUAUUCUGGAGAACAUAGACAGUAAAGGCAUUUUCCAUUGCCCCGAGAGAUUUGACAUGCCAGAUAAGCUAGCUGAGCACACAAGUCAAUGCAAAUUUAGGAUACUGAACUGCACAAAUGAUGGAUGUGUAGCUUCUUUCUGUGCUAUUCAUACCGAAAAGCAUGACGCUGUCUGCCCAUUCAAGCUCCUACCAUGCGAGCAGCUGUGUGAACAACAUGUUAUGCGGUCUGAGAUGGACAAACAUUGUGGAACAGUUUGCCCUAUGAAGCUUACCAACUGCCCGUUUUUUAGAAUUGGCUGUGAAACAGCCUUUCCACAGUGUUCUCUUGAUAACCAUUGUUCGCGGUUUCUACAAACCCAUUUGAUGUAUGUCGUCAAGGUGAUUACAAGACAGGGUGAUUGUGUUAAUGAUAUGGAUCAACGGCUGCAACUCCUUGAGAAGGAGUAUCUUUUUUCCUUCUCAACAGUCAACACUUUGUCGGAAGCAUUUUGUGUGCAAGGGUGGACCUUUGUAGGUCGUUUUAACAGCAAGUUUUCAUGGAGGACAUGUUGCAACAGUAUCAUCAUUGGCUUGGCUCUUCGACGAAGCUUUCAGGUUACAGCGCAAGCAGCCUCCAAAUUCUGCAAAUAUGUCCUGUAUGUAUGCGUACACAGAAAUAUGCAGCCUCCAAAAUCUUGCAAACUUCUCUCCUGUACUGCACCAGAAGGUCCAGAUCAUGUUAGGAAGACAUUGUCAAAUGCUGUUUGUGGAACAUCAAAGUACAGUUUCCAUUUACCUAUAUCGUUUCUAUUGUUUACAUUAAUUGAGGGUUGUGUGGUGCAGAUCAACUUGGAGUCAUUUUAUCAUCUUCUUGUCAUAUUCCUAAUCAGUGAUGUCUAA
rnacentral:rRNA from 1 species